AAGGGCAUGAGAUGGUGGUUUAAGGAAACCAAUGUUAAUGUUGUUAAUGGAGACUCCUAAAACCUGCAUUUGAGGGCCACCUGUGGUUCUGAUGCUCUCAGGCAUGCAGUGGACUAAUGUGGUGAGUGGGGAUGGGAGUGGGUAGAGGAGAUGGCAACUUGCCACUAUUUUACAACACUGAGUAAAAAACUGUGAAGAAAUCAUGAAGUCAUUGGCCUUUACAUGAUGGGACAGGAGUCUGAGAUUUGUAUGAGAUUUUUAUUAGAAUGAAUCAUGUGAUGAUCCAUGACAUUAGAAAGAAGUCCAACUUUAUAGACAAGAAAUUUCAAUUACUGAAUCAGCAAAGAUGAAUAAAAAUGAGCUGAGGGCCAGGAGAUGACAAUAACCACCUGGGAGGCCACCUGAUGGUUACCCUGGAUGCCCAAUGGUAAAGAGCUGUUCUUGGGUUAUUUUGUAAGUGACAGAUCAACUUUUAUUAUAUUUCUUCCAAUAUACAAAUGUUGGCUGUAUUUGUACAGCAGAUGAAGUUACUGUAAUAAUUCAGAUUCUGAAGUCAUUAUGUAUCUUUUCUAAAAUAUUCUUACAAAAUUCUUGCAAAAUGCCUAGGAGAACUCACCUGGAUUUUGCUUUCUUAGUUAUUUACUGUUGCU